rnacentral:rRNA from 1 species
GCGCAGCAGGCGCGAAAACUUCGCAAUACGCGCAAGCGUGACGAGGGAACCCCAAGUCCUCUUGCUUUUUGCAGGCGUUUUUGCCAAGUGUAAACCGCUUGGAGAAUAAGGGCGGGGUCAGGCCGGUGCCAGCCGCCGCGGUAAUACCGGCCGCCCGAGUCGUGCCCACUAUUAUUGGGCCUAAAGCGUCCGUAGCCGGUUUUGUAAGUUUCUGGGUAAAUCCCACAGCUUAACUGCGGGAAGUCCAGAAAUACUGCAGAGCUAGGGGCCGGGAGACGCAGAAGGUACACCUGGGGUAGGGGUGAAAUCCUAUAAUCCUAGGGGGACCACCAGUGGCGAAGGCGUGCUGCGAGAACGGGCUCGACGGUGAGGGACGAAAGCCAGGGGCGCAAACGGGAUUAGAGACCCCUGGAGUCC